rnacentral:rRNA from 1 species
UGGGGAAUUUUCCGCAAUGGGCGCAAGCCUGACGGAGCAAGACCGCGUGAGGGAGGAAGGCCCUUGGGUUGUAAACCUCUUUUCUCAGGGAAGAAGAAAGUGACGGUACCUGAGGAAUCAGCCUCGGCUAACUCCGUGCCAGCAGCCGCGGUAAUACGGAGGAGGCAAGCGUUAUCCGGAAUUAUUGGGCGUAAAGCGCGUGUAGGCGGCCUGGUAAGUCUGCUGUGAAACCUUGGGGCUCAACCCCAAGCGUGCAGUGGAUACUGCUAGGCUAGAGGGUGGUAGAGGCGAGUGGAAUUCCCGGUGUAGCGGUGAAAUGCGCAGAUAUCGGGAGGAACACCAGUAGCGAAGGCGGCUCGCUGGGCCAUUCCUGACGCUGAGACGCGAAAGCGUGGGGAGCAAACAGGAUUAGAUACCCGUGUAGUCC